rnacentral:rRNA from 1 species
GACGAACGCUGGCGGCGUGCUUAACACAUGCAAGUCGAACGGAAAGGCCUCAGCUUGCUGGGGUACUCGAGUGGCGAACGGGUGAGUAACACGUGGGUGAUCUGCCUUGCACUCUGGGAUAAGCUUGGGAAACUGGGUCUAAUACCGGAUAUGAACUGCCUUUAGUGUGGUGGUUGGAAAGUUUUUUCGGUGCAAGAUGAGCUCGCGGCCUAUCAGCUUGUUGGUGGGGUAAUGGCCUACCAGGGCGUCGACGGGUAGCCGGCCUGAGAGGGUGUACGGCCACAUUGGGACUGAGAUACGGCCCAGACUCCUACGGGAGGCAGCAGUGGGGAAUAUUGCACAAUGGGCGGAAGCCUGAUGCAGCGACGCCGCGUGGGGGAUGACGGCCUUCGGGUUGUAAACUCCUUUCGACAGGGACGAAGCUUUUUGUGACGGUACCUGUAUAAGAAGCACCGGCUAACUACGUG